UUUUGGACUGUGUGGGUUUCCGGGACGUUUCGAGUGCGUCCUAGGUCUCGGGGGUUCCGCAGAUCACAGGCCCAGGGCCCGCGUCCGAGUGUCAGGUUGGAGCCGGGAAACGUCCCAGGGGGUAGCGGCGGCGGGGGCAGGAUGAGCGCGGAGGCGGCGGACCGGGAGGCGGCCACCUCCAGCCGGCCCUGCACCCCGCCGCAGACCUGCUGGUUUGAGUUCCUGCUGGAGGAGUCGCUGUUGGAGAAACAUCUGCGCAAGCCCUGCCCGGAUCCUGCACCAGUUCAACUUAUAGUCCAGUUUUUGGAACAGGCUUCUAAACCUUCAGUUAAUGAACAGAACCAAGUUCAACCUCCACCUGAUAACAAGAGAAAUCGUAUUUUAAAGCUUCUUGCUCUUAAAGUUGCUGCACAUUUGAAGUGGGACUUAGACAUAUUAGAGAAAAGUUUGUCUGUUCCAGUAUUGAAUAUGUUACUAAAUGAACUGCUGUGCAUCAGUAAAGUUCCUCCCGGAACAAAGCACAUAGACAUGGAUCUGGCCACUUUACCUCCAACCACUGCCAUGGCUAUACUUCUCUACAAUAGAUGGGCAAUUAGGACAAUUGUUCAAAGUAGUUUUCCUGUCAAACAACCAAAACCUGGACCUCCUCAGUUAAGUGUUAUGAAUCAGAUGCAACAGGAGAAAGAGCUAACAGAAAAUAUUUUGAAAGUGCUAAAAGAACAAGCUUCUGAUUCUGUCUUGGUACUAGAGGCAGCCCUUAAAUUAAACAAGGAUCUUUAUGUCCACACGAUGAGAACGCUAGAUUUAUUGGCCAUGGAGCCAGGCGUGGUAAAUGGAGAGACUGAGAGUUCCACUGUUGGAUUGAAAAUCAAAACCGAGGAGAUGCAGUGCCAGGUGUGUUAUGAUUUGGGUGCAGCAUACUUCCAGCAAGGCUCUACAAAUCCAGCUGUCUAUGAAAAUGCCAGAGAAAAAUUUUUUAGAACCAAAGAACUAAUUGCAGAGAUAGGUUCAUUAUCUCUUCAUUGUACCAUAGAUGAGAAGCGGUUAGCUGGCUAUUGUCAAGCGUGUGGUGUUCUUGUACCUUCUUCUGAUAGUGCAUCUCAGCAAUUGACUCCAUAUAGUCAAGUCCAUAUUUGUUUGAGAUCUGGCAACUAUCAGGAGGUAACAAAGAUUUUCGCUGAAGACAAUUUAACCUUCAGUUUACCUGUGCAGUUCCGGCAAUCAGUCCUAAGAGAGCUCUUUCAGAAAGCUCAACAGGGAAAUGAAGCUCUAGAUGAAAUCUGUUUUAAAGUCUGUGCCUGUAACACAGUACGUGAUAUAUUGGAAGGUAGAGCGAUUGGUGUUCAAUUUAACCAGCUAUUUCUUAGACCUAAUAAAGAGAAAAUAGACUUUCUUCUUGAGGUAUGUUCAAGAUCAAUAAAUUUAGAAAAAGCUUCAGAUUCUUUGAAAGGAAACAUGGCUGCUUUUCUAAAGAAUGUGUGUCUGGGGUUGGAAGACCUGCAGUAUGUUUUCAUGAUUUCUUCACAUGAGCUUUUCAUUACAUUGUUGAAAGAUGAAGAACGAAAGCUACUGGUUGAUCAGAUGAGGAAGAGAUCCCCUAGAGUAAAUCUGUGCAUUAAACCAGUAACUUCAUUUUAUGAUAUCCCAGCCUCAGCAAGUGUCAACAUUGGCCAGUUGGAGCAUCAGCUGAUAUUGUCAGUAGAUCCCUGGAGGAUUCGACAGAUUUUAAUUGAAUUACAUGGUAUGACUUCAGAGCGCCAAUUCUGGACAGUGUCUAAUAAGUGGGAAAUACCUUCUGUCUAUAGUGGUGUUAUCCUGGGAAUCAAAGACAAUUUAACAAGAGAUUUGGUUUACAUUCUAAUGGCCAAAGGUUUACACUGCAGUACUGUUAAGGACUUUACCCAUGCUAAACAGCUAUUUGCUGCUUGUUUGGAGUUGGUGACAGAAUUCUCACCAAAACUUCGUCAGGUCAUGCUGAAUGAGAUGCUGCUUUUGGAUAUUCAUACACAUGAAGCUGGAACAGGGCAAUCUGGAGAGAGACCGCCUUCUGAUCUUAUUAGUAGGGUGCGAGGAUAUCUGGAAAUGAGGCUUCCUGAUAUUCCUCUUCGUCAAGUUAUUGCCGAGGAGUGUGUUGCUUUUAUGUUAAACUGGAGGGAAAAUGAAUACCUUACCCUGCAAGUUCCUGCAUUUCUGCUUCAGAGUAAUCCAUAUGUAAAGCUUGGACAGCUUUUAGCAGCUACAUGCAAAGAACUUCCAGGCCCUAAAGAAAGUAGGCGGACUGCUAAAGACCUUUGGGAAGUUGUUGUUCAGAUCUGUAGUGUGUCCAGUCAACACAAACGAGGAAAUGAUGGCAGAAUUAGUUUAAUAAAGCAGAGGGAGUCUACAUUAGGUAUAAUGUAUCGGAGUGAACUGCUUUCUUUUAUCAAAAAAUUACGGGAACCGUUGGUUUUGACUAUUAUUUUAUCACUCUUUGUGAAACUUCACAAUGUUCGGGAGGACAUUGUGAAUGAUAUUACAGCUGAACACAUUUCUAUCUGGCCAUCCUCCAUCCCCAACCUCCAGUCCGUGGACUUUGAAGCCGUGGCUAUCACAGUGAAAGAGCUAGUUCGGUAUUCCCUCAGUAUAAACCCAAACAACCAUUCCUGGUUAAUUAUUCAGGCAGACAUUUAUUUUGCAACAAAUCAGUAUUCGGCAGCUCUUCACUAUUACCUCCAGGCAGGAGCGGUGUGUUCUGAUUUCUUUAAUAAGGCUGUGCCCCCAGAUGUUUAUACAGACCAGGUAAUAAAACGAAUGAUAAAGUGCUGUUCUUUGCUGAAUUGCCACACACAGGUGGCAAUUUUAUGUCAGUUCCUCAGAGAGAUUGACUACAAAACAGCCUUUAAAUCACUGCAGGAACAAAACAGUCAUGAUGCUAUGGACUCCUACUAUGACUACAUAUGGGAUGUUACCAUUUUGGAAUACUUGACUUAUCUUCAUCACAAAAGAGGAGAAACAGAUAAAAGACAAAUUGCGAUCAAAGCCAUCGGCCAGACAGAAUUGAACGCGAGCAACCCAGAAGAAGUGUUACAGCUGGCAGCGCAGAGAAGGAAAAAAAAGUUUCUUCAAGCAAUGGCAAAACUUUACUUUUAAGCAUUCAGAGAAUAACAACUAGAAUGACCAGAGGAGUAGAAGAGAUGUUGCCAAAGAUGAGAACAGGCUAAAGAUCAAGAUUUCAGUCUAGAAAGGUAUCUGAAACACACCAUGUGAUUUCAGGUGUAUGAAACCUGGAGGCGAGAGGAAAAACCAGAGUCAAAUACAUUGUCAUCCAUACUCUCCAAGUGCCAUUCAGAGGUUAUAACUAAGUCCCUCAGGAGAUGACCUGAGCCGUCUUACCACGAUGACUUAUGCAGUAUAUUAGUGCAUGAUUUCGGACUCAUGCUUUUGGACACAUGCCUGCAUUUCCUCAACGAAAUGAACAGCCCGGAUGAGAGCGUCUUCAGAAAUUUGCAAACCACCCUCAGCGCCCGGAAAGCGCAGGGAGGCAGAUGGGUCUCUUCUGCGUCCUGCAGUCUCUCCCCCGGACAGCCCGAGUGGGGCUUGGGCAGCGCCCCUACUUCCCCCCUCCCAUCCUGCUCGAGCCGCGGGGAGAGGGGGUUGUGGAGGCGAAACACUGUGGAGAAGCCGGUUCCGCGCCAAUUUGGAGAGCGGCGGUGGCGGGGAAGCAGGGGGCGGAGGGAACUUGUGUCACGUCCUUCAGUCUGCUUUCCCUCCUUCCCAGCCCCACCGGACCCUGCCCAUCGCUUGGAGGGGCACCGGGACCCCGACUACAGAUGGGGGAUGGGAGUGAUGGAAAGGGAGUUCAAUUAAUAAAGGGGAAAACUGGG